AGGUGACUUCCUCUUCCCCCUACUGUCCUGAUUCUUCUCUGGUGGGAGCCACGGGUGUUUCCGAGGCCAGCUCCAGCUCUCUGCCCUUGCCCAAGAGGAGUGAGUUCUGGACACUGGAAUGGCUCCCAUGCUCCUGACAGCCAGGUCUCCAUGCUGAUGGAUGCCAUGCUGAGUACCCUGGGAAGUGGGUGCUGUCCCAGAUGAGAACACUGGGACAAGCAGUGGUUUGGGAGAAAAGGCCUGAAAACUGGAUAUUCUGUGGACUCACAAAGGAUGGUCUCUGAGUUUCCAGUCUGAGAGGAAUCUGAGAUUGGGAUGUCAGAUUAGAAAGGCAGCAGAGCAUGGAGGAUAAAAAUCCUCAGCAAUCAUGCAAAAUCAAUCUCAAAAUCACCUCAAAAUCAUCAAAUCAUCCAAAAUCAUCUCAAAAUCAUCUCAAGAUCAUCCAAAAGGAAACUCCCAGUAAAACAAUGAGUUGUGCAGGUGAUAAAUGUGUCCAAAGCAUCAGUUUGGAAGCAAAUAUUUUUGUAAGAGAUAAUAGUAUUUCUAGGAAAGGAUCUUCCCAAAUACAACACACACAGAAAGAGAGGCAGGAGAACUUCACUUAAUCUUCAGAACCAAGGAAAGGUCAUAAAAUUUGCUCUGGGGAAAUAGUUUCUACAUCUAAAUCAGAUUUUAUUGCAUAUCAUAGAAUCUAUUCUGGAAAGAAACCUGGAUUGCCUAAUGAAUUUGAGAAAGCCAUCUAAGCCCAACCAUCA